rnacentral:rRNA from 1 species
GAUGAACGCUGACAGAAUGCUUAACACAUGCAAGUCAACUUGAAUUUGGGUUUUUAACUUCGGUUUGGGUGGCGGACGGGUGAGUAACGCGUAAAGAACUUGCCUCACAGCUAGGGACAACAUUUGGAAACGAAUGCUAAUACCUAAUAUUAUGAUAAUAGGGCAUCCUAUAAUUAUGAAAGCUAUAAGCGCUGUGAGAGAGCUUUGCGUCCCAUUAGCUAGUUGGAGAGGUAACGGCUCACCAAGGCGAUGAUGGGUAGCCGGCCUGAGAGGGUGAUCGGCCACAAGGGGACUGAGACACGGCCCUUACGCCUACGGGAGGCAGCAGUGGGGAAUAUUGGACAAUGGACCAAGAGUCUGAUCCAGCAAUUCUGUGUGCACGAUGAAGUUUUUCGGAAUGUAAAGUGCUUUCAGUUGGGAAGAAAGAAAUGACGGUACCAACAGAAGAAGUGACGGCUAAAUACGUG